rnacentral:sRNA from 1 species
CACCCGCGAACUAGUAAUAAGCAACCACCGGGGGUCCUUGUGGCGGGCUUCAUUGCUGCCCCCACUCUCGGCCCCGUGCCAAGUGCGCUCCUGAACUGCGUUUCCUUGGCUAAAAACAAACCCCGGCGCGAAUUGCGUCAAGGUACUUUAACAAGAGAAGCAGUGCCCCCUGUUCUCGUUCGCGAGUGAAGUUACGGGGGGUCGCUGCAUCUUUUCAAGAACAUAACGACUCUCGGCAACGGAUAUCUCGGCUCUCGCAUCGAUGAAGAACGUAGCGAAAUGCGAUACUUGGUGUGAAUUGCAGAAUCCCGUGAACCAUCGAGUCUUUGAACGCAAGUUGCGCCCGAAGCCAUUAGGCCGAGGGCACGCCUGCCUGGGCGUCUCACAUCGCGUCGCCCCCCCACCCUGUGCCCGCAAAGGGUUCUUGGGUUGAUGGGGGGCGGAUUUUGGCCCCCCGUGCGCCCUCGUGCGCGGUCGGCCUAAAUAUAAGUCCCGGGCGACGAACGUCACGAUGAGUGGUGGAUGUGAUACCGUUGCGUCAUGUCGUGCACGUCUCGUCCCUGCGGGCUGUCUUGUUUUUGACCCUAAAGCACCGUUUCCACGGGAGCCUCGACCGCGACCCCAGGUCAGGCGGG